UACAGAGGUCUCAAGCGUUGUUCGGAUUCAUUGGGUCGUAAAGGGUGUGAUAGGUGGCGCCGUAAGUCGGGUGUGAAAUUUCGGGAGCUUAAACUCCGAAACUGCAUUCGAUACUGCGGUGCUUGAGGACUGGAGAGGAGACUGGAAUUCGAUGGUGUAGCAGUGAAAUGCGUAGAGAUCAAUGAGGAAGACCAGUGGCGAAGGCGG
rnacentral:rRNA from 1 species